GACACAUUGAGGACAGGCUGGGGACAGGUGAGACAGGCUGGGGACACAUUGGGGACAGGCUGGGGACAGUUUGGGGACAGGCUGGGGACAAGGCCAGGUUGCUCCAGCCCCAGCAGGUCCCCGCUGAGCCUCGUUCCAGCCCCACAAUUCCCGUUUUUUCCAUCUUUUAACCAAAUUUCAGGGCAAACCCACAGCCCCGGCAGGCGGAUCUCGGCAGAGUUUGGUGACUCCAGCUCUGUCCCCUCCACAGGGGACAGCUCCAAAAUGCCACCAGACCUUUCUGGGUGACAAAGAGCCGUGACAAAGCUCGAAAUCCCCAAUCCCUCCCGCCUCCAAAUAUUGAGCUAUACAUUAAAUUAGGGGCGGGAAAAAAAAAAUUUAAAAAAAAAAAAAAAAAAACCACAAAAAAAACCCGCGAAAUCAAUAAAAUCGAUAAAAGCAGGGAAAGGCGAGCACGUCGGAGGGGAAGCGUGGCAGUUUGUUAUGCUAACCGAGGGGGGCUCCGCUCGGGGGGACAAGUCGGAGAGGUCUGAAGAGCAAGGAGUUCACAGGCCCUCUCCUUUUGUCAUGCUAAAAGUGCAACACAGAAAAUAUAUACAGGCAGCUGCUCAA